rnacentral:rRNA from 1 species
UACGUAGGGUGCAAGCGUUGUCCGGAAUUAUUGGGCGUAAAGAGCUCGUAGGCGGUCUGUCGCGUCGGCUGUGAAAUCCCGGAGCUCAACUCCGGGUCUGCAGUCGAUACGGGCAACUGGAGUACUGCAGGGGAGACUGGAAUUCCUGGUGUAGCGGUGAAAUGCGCAGAUAUCAGGAGGAACACCGGUGGCGAAGGCGGGUCUCUGGGCAGUAACUGACGCUGAGGAGCGAAAGCGUGGGGGAGCGAACAGG